UACGAAGGGGGCUAGCGUUGCUCGGAAUCACUGGGCGUAAAGCGCACGUAGGCGGGUCGUUAAGUCGGGGGUGAAAUCCUGGAGCUCAACUCCAGAACUGCCUUCGAUACUGGCGACCUUGAGACUGGGAGAGGUGAGUGGAACUCCGAGUGUAGAGGUGAAAUUCGUAGAUAUUCGGAAGAACACCAGUGGCGAAGGCGGCUCACUGGCCCGGUACUGACGCUGAGGUGCGAAAGCGUGGGGAGCAAACAGG
rnacentral:rRNA from 1 species